GUCUGCUUUGGAUAGGAGGAUAGCAGAAACCCUAGAGUUAAGGGUUGUUUUUCCCGAUAUCAUCAACAAUAAAUACUAUUAAUAAUAGUUUCCCCAGACUCAAGAGCCAGACAUCCAAGCUGACUGAAAGCUGCAGCUGCUGUCUCUGCACUUUUGGGGGCGUUUGAGCAAGAGCAGUUGCCAUACAGCCCCCUCCCCACAACACACCCCUAUCCCGUCUGCAUUACAGACUGGGCCAGCAUGUGAUCAGGCUGCUGAUGCUUCCCGCUGCCAGUGACAUCAGCCGGCUGAGCCGUGCAAUAGAGAGCGGCAUCAUCCCUCGCAGAGCGGGGGAGGAGCAGGAGGGACGACAGGGAGGAGACUUGCCUCCCAGGGAAAAAAAAAAUAGCACGAGAGCUACUUGGAAUAGUCCGAGUGCAAUGCUGAGCCUUUGAAUACUGGCCAAAAUGUAAGGGCCACCAGGUCCUUUAAUUUUCUUGGAUGCUGCCUAGGACCAAGAACCCAUUUUAUGACCACUCACAACUCUAGCAAUAAAAAUCUAAAGAAGGUCCAACUUCAGAAGCUUCUGCAUUUCCUCUUCAUCAAUGUCCUCUUCUGUAUCAGUCAUUUUCCAAUGUGACCGCUUGUCACCUGGCUUCUUCAUAAAGGAGGUUACAGCAGCAGUUUCAGCCCCAGCCGCAAGGCUGCUCACAUCUACACCAGGCACACAUCACUUUGAAGGUUUUCUGUUGCAAGAAGCAGCAGCAGAGAUGAGAAGCAUGCCCACUUGGGACCUCCUCUGGCAGGGACUAAGCAAGGAUCGAACUCACCGACUGCCUGCUUACAAGGCAGGCGCUUAUGCUGCUGAGCUAAAUCCCCAGCCCCUAUUGGAUUAAUCUUGAUUGUUUCUAAUAAUAUUCAAAUAAAUUCUGCAUAUUUCAAA